ensembl:snRNA U6 U6 spliceosomal RNA
GUGCUUUCUUCCAGAGCAUAUUUACUAAAACUGGAAUGGACAGAAAAGAUGAACAAUGCCACAGGGUAAAGGAAGACAGGCAAAAUUGUAAAAUGUUUCACUAUUUA